rnacentral:tRNA from 1 species
AGAGAAUUAAGUAACAGAAAUAAGAGACUUCUAAUCUAUUUAUUGAGAAAAUUUACGCUUUCUCUUCUCUU